rnacentral:rRNA from 1 species
AACGACCCCAGGUCAGGCGGGACCACCCGCUGAGUUUAAGCAUAUCA